rnacentral:misc_RNA from 1 species
CUUGAAGCCUUGAGCGUACCACCUGAAAAUAUCAUAUGAGAACUAAUUCAUUAUUUCUUGAGACAACUAAGGCAACACAGAUAGCAACAACUGUUGCUAGUUGUUACCAUCCAGUUUGACAUUUGGGCCCUCAAAACACCAAAGCCAAACCUCCCAUGAAAAGUUGAUGUAAUCUGUAAAAUUCAAACAUCCUUCAAUUCUUAUUAUUUUGGCUGAACAUGGUGCAGGGGAGGAGUGAAAUUUAACAAGGCAACUAGCAACCAUG